GUCACUAGUGAUUAACCUUACAAUACUUAUUGUACAAUUCUAUUUUACAAGACAUACACGUCCAACAUUAGGAUCCCUUCCCUUAUGAUUUAAUAGAGCCAAAGUUACUUGAAAGGCGUUCAAGUUGAGACCACAACAAGUUGCCUAAUGAAAAUCUUGGCUUAUCUUCUUCAACUCUGGUAACUUUGGUCCCCUGAUUUGCUCUUGAAGAGGAGGCUCGACCAUGCCGAUUUGAAGGUUCUUGAACUACGGCAAUUGAUCCUCCAAUCUCUUUGAGCACCAACUCUAAGAUUUGCGGAUCCACAUCCAUAUCAUGCCCCGACGCAUCUGUGAUGAAAAUAGAUCCAACAGCUCUGUCACCA
rnacentral:misc_RNA from 1 species